UUGAACGCUGGCGGCAGGCCUAACACAUGCAAGUCGAACGGUAACAGGAAGCAGCUUGCUGCUUUGCUGACGAGUGGCGGACGGGUGAGUAAUGUCUGGGAAACUGCCUGAUGGAGGGGGAUAACUACUGGAAACGGUAGCUAAUACCGCAUAACGUCGCAAGACCAAAGAGGGGGACCUUCGGGCCUCUUGCCAUCGGAUGUGCCCAGAUGGGAUUAGCUUGUUGGUGGGGUAACGGCUCACCAAGGCGACGAUCCCUAGCUGGUCUGAGAGGAUGACCAGCCACACUGGAACUGAGACACGGUCCAGACUCCUACGGGAGGCAGCAGUGGGGAAUAUUGCACAAUGGGCGCAAGCCUGAUGCAGCCAUGCCGCGUGUAUGAAGAAGGCCUUCGGGUUGUAAAGUACUUUCAGCGGGGAGGAAGGGAGUAAAGUUAAUACCUUUACUCAUUGACGUUACCCGCAGAAGAAGCACCGGCUAACUCCGUGCCAGCAGCCGCGGUAAUACGGAGGGUGCAAGCGUUAAUCGGAAUUACUGGGCGUAAAGCGCACGCAGGCGGUUUGUUAAGUCAGAUGUGAAAUCCCCGGGCUCAACCUGGGAACUGCAUCUGAUACUGGCAAGCUUGAGUCUCGUAGAGGGGGGUAGAAUUCCAGGUGUAGCGGUGAAAUGCGUAGAGGUCUGGAGGAAUACCGGUGGCGAAGGCGGCCCCCUGGACGAAGACUGACGCUCAGGUGCGAAAGCGUGGGGAGCAAACAGGAUUAGAUACCCUGGUAGUCCACGCCGUAAACGAUGUCGACUUGGAGGUUGUGCCCUUGAGGCGUGGCUUCCGGAGCUAACGCGUUAAGUCGACCGCCUGGGGAGUACGGCCGCAAGGUUAAAACUCAAAUGAAUUGACGGGGGCCCGCACAAGCGGUGGAGCAUGUGGUUUAAUUCGAUGCAACGCGAAGAACCUUACCUGGUCUUGACAUCCACAGAACUUUCCAGAGAUGGAUUGGUGCCUUCGGGAACUGUGAGACAGGUGCUGCAUGGCUGUCGUCAGCUCGUGUUGUGAAAUGUUGGGUUAAGUCCCGCAACGAGCGCAACCCCUGUUUCUAGUUGCCAGCAUGUAAAGAUGGGAACUCUAGAAAGACUGCCGUAGAUAAUACGGAGGAAGGUGGGGAUGACGUCAAAUCAUCAUGCCCUUUAUGUCCUGGGCUACACACGUACUACAAUGGCUGUAACAGAGGGAAGCGAACCAGUGAUGGUAAGCGAAACCCGAAAAGCAGUCACAGUUCGGAUUGAAGGCUGAAACUCGCCUUCAUGAAGCCGGAAUUGCUAGUAAUGGCAGGUCAGCAUACUGCCGUGAAUACGUUCCCGGGCCUUGUACACACCGCCCGUCACACCAUGAGAGUUGGGGAUACCCGAAGCCUGUGAGCCAACAGUUAAAUGGGGCAGCAGUCGAAGGUGGGGUUGAUGAUUAGGGUG
rnacentral:rRNA from 1 species